UUCUUUCUUCACAGGUCGCAGGAACAGUUUCUCUUUGUUUCACAGGCUGCAGUAACAUGGAGCGAGGAAGCAGGUUCCAACUAAAGGACUGCAAGAUACCGUGCUACACAUACACUUACCUAGAAAGAAGACAAGGGUUACAGGUGAGUGUUAUCCCCCUAAAUCCUCCUUAUUGCCCCCUGCUUCCCCUGCAGCAUCCUCUCCCUCUGAUUCACAAUGUGCUGCAUAUAUUACAAAAUAUACUGUGUAAAUGCCAUAACUAAUCACACACACCACUGUAUAAAAUAGAUGUUUGUGUGCUGCGAAUAGUAAUUGUAUACAAUUAAAUGCGACCUAUAACGAAUAUCAUGCUGAAAACCACAUAAGUCUCCUGUGAGAGAAAUGUAUCUGUAUACACAAAACAUAAGCUCAGAGGCUGUAUCCUGUCACAUACUAUGUGCUGCCUUAGUAUUGUCUGUAUUAUCUGUAUACACAAACAUAAGUACAGAGGCUGUAUCCUGUCACAUACUAUGUGCUGCCUUAGUAUUGUGUGCUGCCUUAGUAUUGUCUGUAUUAUCUGUAUACACAAACAUAAGUACAGAGGCUGUAUCCUGUCACAUACUAUGUGCUGCCUUAGUAUUGUGUGCUGCCUUAGUAUUGUCUGUAUUAUCUGUAUACACAAACAUAAGUACAGAGGCUGUAUCCUGUCACAUACUAUGUGCUGCCUUAGUAUUGUCUGUAUUAUCUGUAUACACAAACAUAAGUACAGAGGCUGUAUCCUGUCACAUACUGUGUGCUGCCUUAGUAUUGUCUGUAUUAUCUGUAUACACAAACAUAAGUACAGAGGCUGUAUCCUGUCACAUACUGUGUGCUGCCUUAGUAUUGUCUGUAUUAUCUGUAUACACAAACAUAAGUACAGAGGCUGUAUCCUGUCACAUACUGUGUGCUGCCUUAGUAUUGUCUGUAUUAUCUGUAUACACAAACAUAAGUACAGAGGCUGUAUCCUGUCACAUACUAUGUGCUGCCUUAGUAUUGUGUGCUGCCUUAGUAUUGUCUGUAUUAUCUGUAUACACAAACAUAAGUACAGAGGCUGUAUCCUGUCACAUACUAUGUGCUGCCUUAGUAUUGUGUGCUGCCUUAGUAUUGUCUGUAUUAUCUGUAUACACAAACAUAAGUACAGAGGCUGUAUCCUGUCACAUACUAUGUGCUGCCUUAGUAUUGUCUGUAUUAUCUGUAUACACAAACAUAAGCUCAGAGGCUGUAUCCUGUCACAUACUAUGUGCUGCCUUAGUAUUGUCUGUAUUAUCUGUAUACACAAACAUAAGUACAGAGGCUGUAUCCUGUCACAUACUAUGUGCUGCCUUAGUAUUGUCUGUAUUAUCUGUAUACACAAACAUAAGCUCAUAGGCUGUAUCCUGUCACAUACUAUGUGCUGCCUUAGUAUUGUGUUCUAUCUUAGUAUUGUCUGUAUUAUCUGUAUACACAAACAUAAGCUCAUAGGCUGUAUCCUGUUACAUACUAUGUGCUGCCUUAGUAUUGUCUGUAUUAUCUGUAUACACAAACAUAAGUACAGAGGCUGUAUACUGUCACAUACUAUGUGCUGCCUUAGUAUUGUCUGUAUUAUCUGUAUACACAAACAUAAGCUCAUAGGCUGUAUCCUGUCACAUACUAUGUGCUGCCUUAGUAUUGUGUGCUAUCUUAGUAUUGUAUGUAUUAUCUGUAUACACAAACAUAAGCUCAUAGGCUGUAUCCUGUCACAUACUAUGUGCUGCCUUAGUAUUGUGUGCUAUCUUAGUAUUGUCUGUAUUAUCUGUAUACACAAACAUAAGCUCAUAGGCUGUAUCCUGUCACAUACUAUGUGCUGCCUUAGUAUUGUGUGCUAUCUUAGUAUUGUCUGUAUUAUCUGUAUACACAAACAUAAGUACAGAGGCUGUAUCCUGUCACAUACUAUGUGCUGCCUUAGUAUUGUCUGUAUUAUCUGUAUAAACAAACAUAAGUACAGAGGCUGUAUCCUGUCACAUACUAUGUGCUGCCUUAGUAUUGUCUGUAUUAUCUGUAUACACAAAACAUAAGCUCAGAGGCUGUAUCCUGUCACAUACUAUGUGCUGCCUUAGUAUUGUCUGUAUUAUCUGUAUACACAAACAUAAGUACAGAGGCUGUAUACUGUCACAUACUAUGUGCUGCCUUAGUAUUGUCUGUAUUAUCUGUAUACACAAACAUAAGUACAGAGGCUGUAUCCUGUCACAUACUAUGUGCUGCCUUAGUAUUGUCUGUAUUAUCUGUAUACACAAACAUAAGUACAGAGGCUGUAUACUGUCACAUACUAUGUGCUGCCUUAGUAUUGUCUGUAUUAUCUGUAUACACAAAACAUAAGCUCAGAGGCUGUAUACUGUCACAUACUAUGUGCUGCCUUAGUAUUGUCUGUAUUAUCUGUAUACACAAACAUAAUUACAGAGGCUAUAUCCUGUCACAUACUAUGUGCUGCCUUAGUAUUGGCUGUAUUAUCUGUAUACACAAACAUAAGUACAGAGGCUGUAUACUGUCACAUACUAUGUGCUGCCUUAGUAUUUUCUGUAUUAUCUGUAUACACAAACAUAAGCUCAGAGGCUGUAUACUGUCACAUACUAUGUGCUGCCUUAGUAUUUUCUGUUUUAUCUGUAUACACAAACAUAAGUACAGAGGCUGUAUCCUGUCACAUACUAUGUGCUGCCUUAGUAUUGUCUGUAUUAUCUGUAUACACAAACAUAAGCUCAGAGGCUGUAUACUGUCACAUACUAUGUGCUGCCUUAGUAUUGUCUGUAUUAUCUGUAUACACAAACAUAAGUACAGAGGCUGUAUACUGUCACAUACUAUGUGCUGCCUUAGUAUUUUCUGUAUUAUCUUUAUACACAAACAUAAGUACAAAGGCUGUAUCCUGUCACAUACUAUGUGCUGCCUGGAAAUCUCUUUACAACCAUGAACCACCCAGACGCCCCCACCACCCAGACCACACAUGAUCCUGUCCACUAUAUAACCGUGACCCUGUCUCCUCCCAACAAGACCUUUCUGAGUUUGAAGAACCAUGCGCCACAUAUGAGGCGGAGCGUGUUCUUGGCGGACCGGAGGCCACCAUUGAGGCCUUGGGCCCGCAUCUUUGAGGAGUAUAAUACUGGCCUGGAAGGGGGGGGGGAUCAUUCUGCUCAGAGUUUGGAAAACAAUUAGUUUACAAAUAAAAUGGUCCAACUAAAGAGAACAUUUAACCAAGUUAUUUCCAGAAAUAUCAGACAAAAGGUCCAUAGCAAUAUGAAUAAGCAAUAUCCUAAUUUUCAAAAAUGUUACAGAAGCUCAGACAUUGUGGGGAUAUAGACAAACAUAUCAAUCUCAUGCAUUAUUCACUGCAUAGAAUUAUUAAAUCUCAAGAAAGCUCUCUAAUCUUGUAUAAUUAUUUCUGUAUGGCUAAAACAGGACCUGGAGAUUACAGACAAUACUAAGGCAUUCCCAGUGGCUUGUGUAGUCAAGUAUAGUUGAAGUAUUUCUUUUCUUAUAAUGUGCUUUAACAUUGUCAUACAAGAGAAUAUGGAAGAUCCUGUCAUUAUGAUAUAUUGUCUUGCUAUAGAUAUAUUAAUGAUUAUAGCAGUCAUUUAGCUAGUUUGAGCCAAAAUACAGCAACAUUCCUUAAAAAUACAUAUGACUUAAAUGCUAAUUCAGCUAUAGCUAUUUAUUAGAAGAAUAUUUUAAAGAAACUAAUAUAUAUUGCUUAAAGUGACAAACAAAAUAAGUACACAAUGCAUAAGAACACUCUUUUGAUGCCAGUGAGAUCAAUAUUUGUAGUACUGGAAAUAAACACAACAUAAAAUAAUUACCUAUGUAAUCCAUACUGUAUAAUUCUUAUAAAGGCACCGUGUGGAUAAAUAUAUAUCGCAAGUAAUGCACGAUAAAUUGCUAUUGUUGCUAAGGCUUUCUAUGCUUUUUAAGGCAUAUGGUUAUUGCUGGAUUGUUAUAUAAGAACACCCACUUGCUCGUCCAGACUGUGCAACCAUUUAAAGCUGUUUGUAGGUAUACAGUACUGGCAAUGUAUAUGGUUAGGUAUAUUUUACAAUUAUAAUUGAAUGAAAACAAAAUAGAUUGAUUUAGCUGAAUAAAUUGUACAGAGUCUAUUAUUCUAUUACCGAGUCUAUCUCUAUAUCACAAUUAAAAAUGUUCUAGCCUGUUUGGUGGUUGGGUCAGUGCGCAUGCCCAAAUGGGACGUCACUCACAGUAAAACAGAAGUUUUUUCCUGUGACGAAUCCUACGGGAUAUAAUUUCCCAGCAGUACUCAGGGAUUUUUUGCUUUGAUAUAAUUUAACACAUAUAAAGUUUGUUUCCUUAUUUACAUAUCUAUAAUCGGUGUAUUGUAAAAUAUACCUCAGUAAAUAAAAUCGCAUUUAGUCCUUACCCUCAGCUGGUUAGGUUCAGCAGACACCUCUACCCUUCCCUACCCUAUUUGAAGACUAAGCUCAUCAUGCAGCUGAGUUUGGUCUAUCAGUAGAAAAUAGGAUGCUGGCGUUAUAGCCGGCUGAUUAUAAAUCUGGGGGAUAUAUAGAGUGAAUAUGAGUAACGUAAUUUGCAUUUAAUACGUAGUACGUGUUUACUAAUUGUUACUACAAGUCUUUAUAUCCUGGGGUCCAUUUAAAUAUCUGUUGGGAAAGAUAGAACAUGUUUUAUUGAAUGAUAGGGUUUAUACUUCUGGAGAUCAAUAUUGGAAAUACAUUUUUAUUAUUUAUUUUAUUUAAUUACAAGUAUUUUCAAUAAUGAUUAUUAACAUAAUUUAGAAUCACAGCUCCUCUAACUAUUCAAUGUAAGUUAACUUUAUGUAAACAGUGUCUGACUCUGCACCAAAUGUCAUAAUACAAAUGUCAAAACGAAAAAAUAAGGAUAUGGUUUGUUAUAUGAAUAUGAUCCAAAGUCCUCAUUUAUAUCCCAUACACUUAUCAUUUCUGUAAUACUAUUUACUAUUAUGUAACAUAGUUUAAGGUAGGCUUUGUUUUUUAUUUUGGGAGGUUUGCAUAAUAGCCAUAUUAGUGGGUAUAAGGCUAUUUUAUAUCUCCACUUCAUUUUUCUCUCUAUAUAAUCAUCUUCCUUCAAAAAUUGUGAAUUAAAGGACACCACCACCACCACAUAUGGGACAUGCCAUUGCAAUGUGAUUGCAUCUCCAGCAGAUUUUAAUCAACAAAGAAGUCACGGAGGGCAAUGAGUCCAGAUGGAUGUAAAAGGAAUGUUGUGCUAUUCGGUCGACAUGUAAUUGGCAAAUAUGUGUUUAGUAUAAAACAGGGCUAUCCCCAUUUAAUACAUAUACAGCACAUGUAACAGGAAACUGCUCCCUGUCCUUCAAGCUACAGCAAAAUACAAAACAAUAUCUGGGACUGCACCUCAGAUAAACCUCUGUUGACAAAUUA